rnacentral:rRNA from 1 species
UGAGGAAUAUUGGUCAAUGGGCGCUAGCCUGAACCAGCCAAGUAGCGUGCAGGACGACGGCCCUAUGGGUUGUAAACUGCUUUUAUGCGGGGAUAAAGUCACCCACGUGUGGGUGUUUGCAGGUAUCGCAUGAAUAAGGACCGGCUAAUUCCGUGCCAGCAGCCGCGGUAAUACGGAAGGUCCGGGCGUUAUCCGGAUUUAUUGGGUUUAAAGGGAGUGUAGGCGGCCUGUUAAGCGUGUUGUGAAAUGUAGAUGCUCAACAUCUGAACUGCAGCGCGAACUGGCUGGCUUGAGUACACGCAACGUGGGCGGAAUUCAUGGUGUAGCGGUGAAAUGCUUAGAUAUCAUGAAGAACUCCUAUUGCGAAGGCAGCUCACGGGAGUGUCACUGACGCUUAAGCUCGAAGGUGCGGGUAUCAAACAGG